UGCUUAACACAUGCAAGUCGAACGAGAACGGAACUAGCUUGCUAGUUUGUCAGCUAAGUGGCGCACGGGUGAGUAAUAUAUAGAUAACAUGCCCUUUAGAGAGGAACAACAGUUGGAAACGACUGCUAAUACCUCAUAUUCCUUUAUUGCAUAUGCAGUAAAGGGAAAUGCUUUAUUGCGCUAAAGGAUUGGUCCGUAUCGUAUCAGCUAGUUGGUGAGGUAAUGGCUCACCAAGGCUAUGACGCGUAACUGGUCUGAGAGGAUGAUCAGUCACACUGGAACUGAGACACGGUCCAGACUCCUACGGGAGGCAGCAGUGGGGAAUAUUGCACAAUGGGGGAAACCCUGAUGCAGCAACGCCGCGUGGAGGAUGACGCAUUUCGGUGUGUAAACUCCUUUUCUGUCGGAAGAUAAUGACGGUAUGACAGGAAUAAGCACCGGCUAACUCCGUGCCAGCAGCCGCGGUAAUACGGAGGGUGCAAGCGUUACUCGGAAUCACUGGGCGUAAAGGACGCGUAGGCGGGUUAUUAAGUCAGAUGUGAAAUCCUACAGCUUAACUGUAGAACUGCAUUUGAAACUGAUAACCUAGAGUUUGGGAGAGGCAGAUGGAACUGGUGGUGUAGGGGUAAAAUCCGUAGAGAUCACCAAGAAUACCGAUGGCGAAGGCGAUCUGCUGGAACAAUACUGACGCUGAGGCGUGAAAGCGUGGGGAGCAAACAGGAUUAGAUACCCUGGUAGUCCACGCCCUAAACGAUGAAUGCUAGUCGUUGUGGUGCUAGUCACUGCAGUGAUGCAGCUAACGCAAUAAGCAUUCCGCCUGGGGAGUACGGUCGCAAGAUUAAAACUCAAAGGAAUAGACGGGGACCCGCACAAGCGGUGGAGCAUGUGGUUUAAUUCGAAGAUACGCGAAGAACCUUACCUGGACUUGACAUCCUGAGAACAUAAUAGAGAUAUAUUGGUGCUAGUUUACUAGAACUCAGUGACAGGUGCUGCACGGCUGUCGUCAGCUCGUGUCGUGAGAUGUUG
rnacentral:rRNA from 1 species